rnacentral:rRNA from 1 species
GACGAACGCUGGCGGCGUGCUUAACACAUGCAAGUCGAACGGUGAACCGCUUUCGGGUGGGGAUCAGUGGCGAACGGGUGAGUAACACGUGAGUAACCUGCCCUUCACUCUGGGAUAACUCCGGGAAACCGGGGCUAAUACUGGAUACGACCUACUCGGGCAUCCGAUGUGGGUGGAAAGAUUUAUCGGUGAGGGAUGGACUCGCGGCCUAUCAGCUUGUUGGUGAGGUAAUGGCUCACCAAGGCGACGACGGGUAGCCGGCCUGAGAGGGCGAUCGGCCACACUGGGACUGAGACACGGCCCAGACUCCUACGGGAGGCAGCAGUGGGGAAUAUUGCACAAUGGGCGAAAGCCUGAUGCAGCGACGCCGCGUGAGGGAUGAAGGCCUUCGGGUUGUAAACCUCUUUCAGCAGGGAAGAAGCGAAAGUGACGGUACCUGCAGAAGAAGCACCGGCUAACUACGUGCCAGCAGCCGCGGGUAUACGUAAGGUGCAAAGCGUUGUCCGGAAUAUUGGGCGUAAAGAGCUUGUAGGCG